rnacentral:rRNA from 1 species
CUCCGUGCCAGCAGCCGCGGUAAUACGGAGGGUGCAAGCGUUACUCGGAAUCACUGGGCGUAAAGAGCGCGUAGGCGGGAUAGUCAGUCAGGUGUGAAAUCCUAUGGCUUAACCAUAGAACUGCAUUUGAAACUACUAUUCUAGAGUGUGGGAGAGGUAGGUGGAAUUCUUGGUGUAGGGGUAAAAUCCGUAGAGAUCAAGAGGAAUACUCAUUGCGAAGGCGACCUGCUGGAACAUUACUGACGCUGAUUGUGCGAAAGCGUGGGGAGCAAACAGGAUUAGAUACCCUGGUAGUCCACGCCCUAAACGAUGGAUGCUAGUUGUUGGAGGGCUUAGUCUCUCCAGUAAUGCAGCUAACGCAUUAAGCAUCCCGCCUGGGGAGUACGGUCGCAAGAUUAAAACUCAAAGGAAUAGACGGGGACCCGCACAAGCGGUGGAGCAUGUGGUUUAAUUCGAAGAUACACGAAGAACCUUACCUAGGCUUGACAUUGAGAGAAUCCGCUAGAAAUAGUGGAGUGUCUGGCUUGCCAGACCUUGAAAACAGGUGCUGCACGGCUGUCGUCAGCUCGUGUCGUGAGAUGUUGGGUUAAGUCCCGCAACGAGCGCAACCCCCUUUCUUAGUUGCUAACAGGUUAUGCUGAGAACUCUAAGGAUACUGCCUCCGUAAGGAGGAGGAAGGUGGGGACGACGUCAAGUCAUCAUGGCCCUUACGCCUAGGGCUACACACGUGCUACAAUGGGGUGCACAAAGAGAAGCAAUACUGCGAAGUGGAGCCAAUCUUCAAAACACCUCUCAGUUCGGAUUGUAGGCUGCAACUCGCCUGCAUGAAGCUGGAAUCGCUAGUAAUCGCAAAUCAGCCAUGUUGCGGUGAAUACGUUCCCGGGUCUUGUACUCACCGCCCGUCACACCAUGGGAGUUGUGUUUGCCUUAAGUCAGGAUGCUAAAUUGGCUACUGCCCACGGCACACACAGCGACUGGGGUGAAGUCGUAACAAGGUAACCGUAGGUGAACCUGCGGUUGGAUCACCUCCUUUCUA